GUAAUUCGAGGAAAUAAUCAGUAAUGGCGACGUGGUGUCCAUGUGGUUUGUGGUGACUUUAUACCGUAUGACUUCUUUUAAAAUGUAUGUCUCUCUUUGUGUUUUCACGACUUUCUAUUGAUUUUAGUAGGAAGAUAAGAUAGUGAUUACCAGAAGAAUAAAAAAGAUAUGGAUAAACGUUUACGUAUAGAGGAUACAAACGAUAUAUAUAUAGGUUCAAGUUGCUGCAGAUGUCAUAAUUUUUUAAUAAGAAUGUGAAAUAUAUGAACGAAGUAAAAUAAUUAUUAAAUUUACUUUUAUAUUAGGAAUGCUACGGAACAAGUGUGCAUUUUUACAGAAAAGACAAUCAUUAAAAUAUAUGUGUUUGUUUAAAAACAUUUACAAAAGGUGCUUUUCGGUUGAUUUGCCAUGUUCCUUAGUAAAACAAAUCGAAAAAAAUACAGAUAGGGUACUAUAUAGGAACAAAGAAAACUUAUACAUGCAUUCAAUAAUGGAAAAUAUAGUUAAUUAUCAAGAAAGUGUUGUUAAACAUCCUUCUGUUAGUAAGAUUUCAUUCAAAACUAUAAUAAAAGUGGAAGAAAAUUUUAUAAGGUCUCAAAGUAAUGAGGAAUCUGAUAACUAUAAUGUAAACAAAGCUGUGCAAAGAUUCUGCAUUCUCUCUGAAGAAAAUUUUCAAAAUCCUGUAAAUAUAGAAGAUCCUAAGUAUGAAAAUAUGGUAGAUAUCAUUUCUAAUAACUUGUCUGUGUUGAAUAACAAUAUGCUAAUUAGUAUUUUGCAUUGUUUUUGCUUGUGGCCAGUAACUGCCUCUACAGAAACUCGCAAUUUCAAAACUCUAUGGAAUGCACUUGAUGAAGAAUGUGCAAAUCGUUUGACAGAUUGGUCUAGGAACACACAGUUUUUAGUAGCAAAUUAUUGGUUUCAUUUGAGACUGAGCAGGAUUACUAAAUAUAAUAGACGAUUGAUAAGAUUAUUAUUACAUACUGUGGAUACUUUAAAUCCUUCUGAAUUUGUUCAAUUAAUGUUUUAUAUCAAUUUACAAAGAUGGACAAAUGAAAAGUCUCAAAAUAAUGUAGAAAAUAAAAUUAAUCACAUAAUGUAUCAGAUUAGUAUAAAUGAGCUGGCAAUUAUAAGCAUGGGACUUUUUAAAUCUAGAAGUAAAAUUAAUAACUCUUCUGUCUUGAAAAAUAUGAUUAAUUUAGUAAAGAAACAAAUACCAGAGAUUAAUAAUAAUUAUUCUCUUGCUUCACUUCUAAAGCAAAUUAGGUACAGUUCUCAAUCUGAACAUGUUAAAGAUAUUUAUGAUUUGCAAACCAAAUGUAUACCUUUUGUGGAUAAGUGGAAUCCUCCAGCAUGUAUUCAUGUAAUAUUGUUAGGGACGAGUAUCAAUGUUCGCCACACACAAAUUUUAGAUGCUGUCGCUAACAAACUUUUAAAAGAUAUUAAAGAAGUACGUUUAAAAGAAAUUACAAAAUUAUUACAUUGUUUAUCAAAAUAUUUUCACAAACCUGAUACAAAUGUUGAUAUAUUUCAUACAUUAAUUAAUGAAUUAAGAACUCCUCUAAGGGAAGAAGAAAUUUAUCAAUAUCCAACAUGUCUUUUACAAUUUCUACUAAGCUUAUCUUUUUUCAGUUCAUAUCCAGAUGAUCUUUUAGCCAAGCUUUUCAAUUUGGAUUUUAUAAAUUUAAUUAAAGAAAAAUCUCAAUUGGAUACAAAUGAAGAACUGUUAACAUUGUAUUAUGCAGUACAAAUUGAAAUGAUGAAUAAUAAAAUUAAAUUUAAUGCUGAUGAAAUAUUAAAGGAUUUUGAAUAUUCUUCAAAGCAUUCCAGUUAUACCCAUCAAAAUCAAUUUUUAGGUAGUAUCUGUGAAGAACUGAAUAAAAUUUUUUCAAAGGAAUUUUUCUCUGUUCGAAAAAUAUUACCAUAUUCUCGUUAUCAAGGUUAUGUAUAAUGCCAUUAGGUAGAAACCAAUUUUCUUCAAAUGAUCAGACUCUAUUGGGUUUACCUUCCAUGAAGAAAAGACAUUUAAUGAAAUUGGGAUAUAAAGUUAUUGAGAUUCCGUGGUUUGAAUUUCUUCAUCUUUCGACU
rnacentral:misc_RNA from 1 species